CUACGGGGCGCUGCAGUGGGGGAUAUUGCACAAUGGGCGAAAGCCUGAUGCAGCAACGCCGCGUGAAGGAAGACGGUUUUCGGAUUGUAAACUUCUAUCAGCUGGGAAGAAAAUGACGGUACCAGACUAAGAAGCCCCGGCUAACUAUGUGCCAGCAGCCGCGGUAAUACAUAGGGGGCAAGCGUUAUCCGGAAUUACUGGGUGUAAAGGGUACGUAGGCGGCUGAUCAAGUCAGAUGUGAAAGCCCGGAGCUCAACUCCGGGAUUGCAUUUGAAACUGGUCGGCUAGAGUGCAGGAGAGGAAAGUGGAAUCCCUAGUGUAGCGGUGAAAUGCGUAGAUAUUAGGAAGAACACCAGUGGCGAAGGCGGCUUUCUGGACUGUAACUGACGCUGAGGUACGAAAGCGUGGGGAGCGAACAGGAUUAGAUACCCUCGUAGUC
rnacentral:rRNA from 1 species